UACAGAGGUGGCAAGCGUUGUUCGGAAUUACUGGGCGUAAAGGGCGCGUAGGCGGUUCCGUAAGUCCCGCGUGAAAUCCCCCGGCUCAACUGGGGAACGGCGCGGGAAACUUCGGGGCUUGAGUUCGGGAGAGGGAAGCGGAAUUCCGGGUGUAGCGGUGAAAUGCGUAGAUAUCCGGAGGAACACCGGUGGCGAAGGCGGCUUCCUGGACCGACACUGACGCUGAUGUGCGAAAGCUAGGGGAGCAAACGGG
rnacentral:rRNA from 1 species